rfam:TPA: Bos taurus chromosome 2, whole genome shotgun sequence.
UCCCUGGUGGUUUAGAGGUUAAAGCAUCUGCCUUCAAUGUAGGAGACCUAAGUUCGAUCCAUGGGUUGGGAA